UACGGGGGGGAGCAAGCGUUGUUCGGAUUUACUGGGCGUAAAGGGCGCGUAGGCGGUCGUGACAAGUCACUUGUGAAAUCUCCGGGCUUAACUCGGAACGGUCAAGUGAUACUGUCGGACUAGAGUACAGAAGGGGCAACUGGAAUUCUCGGUGUAGCGGUGAAAUGCGUAGAGAUCAGGAAGAACACCCGUGGCGAAGGCGGCCCACUGGGCCGGUACUGACGCUGAGGCGCGAAGGCGUGGGGAGCGAACGGGG
rnacentral:rRNA from 1 species